AGAAUGCUGUUAAGCUAAGACCACAGGCUCAAGGGUCACUUUCCAUAGCAAAUCAGCCCCCUGGUGCAUGUGCUUGGCUGAGGAGCCACAGGCGCGAGGCCACCACCUGCGGGCUUGUGAGCGAACACCUGUAAGUCAGAGUCCCACCCGGACAUAGCGAUACGGCCGCGCUGCCGGCGCCUCGCUGGGCUCCCACAGCCGGCGCCCACCCGCGCGGGGCGGGCACGGGGCGCGGUGCUGCUUGGGCUUGGGACCCGGGGGGGCAGACGGAUGUGGCGCCGCCUCUCCUCCAUCAUGUGCCACCUGAUCGUGGGGCACCCGGCGCUAAAUCAUUUGUAGGUGACCUGUUGCUGGGUCAGGGUUUCAUACGUAGUAGAGCAGCUCCCUCGCUGAGAUCUAUUGAGAAUCAGCCCUCGACACAAGCUUUU
rnacentral:ncRNA from 1 species